rnacentral:rRNA from 1 species
AAAUUGAAGAGUUUGAUCAUGGCUCAGAUUGAACGCUGGCGGCAGGCCUAACACAUGCAAGUCGAACGGUAACAGGAAACAGCUUGCUGUUUCGCUGACGAGUGGCGGACGGGUGAGUAAUGUCUGGGAAACUGCCUGAUGGAGGGGGAUAACUACUGGAAACGGUAGCUAAUACCGCAUAACGUCGCAAGACCAAAGAGGGGGACCUUCGGGCCUCUU